rnacentral:rRNA from 1 species
UAGAGUUUGAUCCUGGCUCACAGCGAACGCUGGCGGCAGGCUUAACACAUGCAAGUCGAGCGGGCAUAGCAAUAUGUCAGCGGCAGACGGGUGAGUAACACGUGGGAACGUACNNNUUGGUUCGGAACAACUGAGGGAAACUUCAGCUAAUACCGGAUAAGCCCUAACGGGGAAAGAUUUAUCGCCGAAAGAUCGGCCCGCGUCUGAUUAGCUAGUUGGUGAGGUAAUGGCUCACCAAGGCGACGAUCAGUAGCUGGUCUGAGAGGAUGAUCAGCCACACUGGGACUGAGACACGGCCCAGACUCCUACGGGAGGCAGCAGUGGGGAAUAUUGGACAAUGGGCGCAAGCCUGAUCCAGCCAUGCCGCGUGAGUGAUGAAGGCCCUAGGGUUGUAAAGCUCUUUUGUGCGGGAAGAUAAUGACGGUACCGCAAGAAUAAGCCCCGGCUAACUUCGUGCCAGCAGCCGCGGUAAUACGAAGGGGGCUAGCGUUGCUCGGAAUCACUGGGCGUAAAGGGUGCGUAGGCGGGUCUUUAAGUCAGGGGUGAAAUCCUGGAGCUCAACUCCAGAACUGCCUUUGAUACUG